UUGUAGAAAAGGAGCUGAGUAAAGCA
rnacentral:piRNA from 1 species